rnacentral:rRNA from 1 species
GACGAACGCUGGCGGCGUGCCUAAUACAUGCAAGUCGAGCGGACCAAAGGGAGCUUGCUCCUGGAGGUUAGCGGCGAACGGGUGAGUAACACGUGGGCAACCUGCCUGUAAGACUGGGAUAACAUCGAGAAAUCGGUGCUAAUACCGGAUAAUAAAAAGAACUGCAUGGUUCUUUUUGAAGAAUGGUUUCGGCUAUCACUUACAGAUGGGCCGCGGCGCAUUAGCUAGUUGGUGAGGUAACGGCUCACCAAGGCAACGAUGCGUAGCCGACCUGAGAGGGUGAUCGGCCACACUGGGACUGAGACACGGCCCAGACUCCUACGGGAGGCAGCAGUAGGGAAUCUUCCGCAAUGGACGAAAGUCUGACGGAGCAACGCCGCGUGAGUGAUGAAGGUUUUCGGAUCGUAAAACUCUGUUGUUAGGGAAGAACAAGUGCCGUUCGAAAGGGCGGCACCUUGACGGUACCUAACGAGAAAGCCACGGCUAACU